ensembl:snRNA RNU6-1040P RNA, U6 small nuclear 1040, pseudogene
GUGCUUGCUUUAGCAGCACAUAUACUAAAACUGAAGUGAUACAGAGAAGAGUAGCAUGGCCCCUGCACAAGGAUUACAUGCAAAUUUGUGAAGUGUUCCGUAUUUCU